ensembl:lncRNA
AAAAAGGAAGGUCGUUGCAUGAAUAAAUAAUUAAUUAAACGAUUGGAAGAAAGGGUAAGAGUAAAUGGCCAAUUAUAACAGCUGAGGGAGGUCACCAAUGGAGACCCACAGGGACUGUGCUAGGACUCAUGCUGUUUAACAUAUUCUUAAAUGCUGAGAAGCAGAGGGUGGGCUGAGAAGGAGCAAAUUUUACCGAGAAUACCAGUUUAUUCAGGGGAAGAAAUUUGAAGGCCAGCAGUGGAAAACUUCGAAUGACGGAGGGAGGCAUAUAACAGAAGAUUAUGAAAUUGUGAAUGACAGGGAGAGAUCAGUUGAGGAGGAACUACUCACCAUCUCUUCCUGUAGAAGAGCAAGAAAGCAUCAUGUAGCACCAGGAGGUGGUAAGUUCUCAAAAAGAUGAAAGGAAGUUGUUCUCACAAGUUAUACUAUACCUGCAGAAUUCCUUGCUUCAGCAUCUCGUGGGUGCUAAAAAUUCACAAAGAUUCAAAAAGCAACCAGUCCAAUGUACAGAAGA